rnacentral:rRNA from 1 species
AACGAACGCUGGCGGCAUGCCUAACACAUGCAAGUCGAACGAGACCUUCGGGUCUAGUGGCGCACGGGUGCGUAACGCGUGGGAAUCUGCCCUUGGGUUCGGAAUAACAGUGAGAAAUUACUGCUAAUACCGGAUGAUGUCUUCGGACCAAAGAUUUAUCGCCCAGGGAUGAGCCCGCGUAGGAUUAGGUAGUUGGUGGGGUAAUGGCCUACCAAGCCGACGAUCCUUAGCUGGUCUGAGAGGAUGAUCAGCCACACUGGGACUGAGACACGGCCCAGACUCCUACGGGAGGCAGCAGUGGGGAAUAUUGGACAAUGGGCGAAAGCCUGAUCCAGCAAUGCCGCGUGAGUGAUGAAGGCCUUAGGGUUGUAAAGCUCUUUUACCAGGGAUGAUAAUGACAGUACCUGGAGAAUAAGCUCCGGCUAACUCCGUGCCAGCAGCCGCGGUAAAGUCUGUACU